rnacentral:rRNA from 1 species
AGAGUUUGAUCCUGGCUCAGGAUGAACUCUGGCGGCGUGCUUAACACAUGCAAGUCGAACGAAGCACUUAAGAACGAUUCUUCGGAUGAAGUCUUUUGAGACUGAGUGGCGGACGGGUGAGUAACGCGUGGGUAACCUGCCUCACACAGGGGGAUAACAGUUGGAAACGACCGCUAAUACCGCAUAAGCCAACAGGGGCGCAUGCUCUGGUUGGAAAAGAUUUAUCGGUGUGAGAUGGACCCGCGUCUGAUUAGCCAGUUGGCAGGGUAACGGCCUACCAAAGCGACGAUCAGUAGCCGGCCUGAGAGGGUGAACGGCCACAUUGGGACUGAGAAACGGCCCAAACUCCUACGGGAGGCAGCAGUGGGGAAUAUUGCACAAUGGGGGAAACCCUGAUGCAGCGACGCCGCGUGAGUGAAGAAGUAUUUCGGUAUGUAAAGCUCUAUCAGCAGGGAAGAAAAUGACGGUACCUGACUAAGAAGCCCCGGCUAACUACGUGCCAGCAGCCGCGGUAAUACGUAGGGGGCAAGCGUUAUCCGGAUUUACUGGGUGUAAAGGGAGCGUCCACCGCCAUGCAAGUCAGAAGUGAAAGCCCGGGGCUCAACUCCGGGACUGCUUUUGAAACUGUGUAACUGGAGUGCAGGAGAGGUAAGCGGAAUUCCUAGUGUAGCGGUGAAAUGCGUAGAUAUUAGGAGGAACACCAGUGGCGAAGGCGGCUUACUGGACUGUAACUGACGUUGAGGCUCGAAAGCGUGGGGAGCAAACAGGAUUAGAUACCCUGGUAGUCCACGCCGUAAACGAUGA